UACGUAGGGGCUAGCGUUGUCCGGAAUCGUUUGGGCGUAAAGCGCGUGUAGGCGGUCCGGUAAGUCCGCUGUGAAAGUCGAGGGCUCAACCUCGAAUGCCGGUGGAUACUGUCGGGCUUGAGUACGGGAGAGGCGAGUGGAAUUCCUGGUGUAGCGGUGAAAUGCGCAGAUAUCAGGAGGAACACCGAUUGCGAAGGCAGCUCGCUGGAACGUUACUGACGCUGAGACGCGAAAGCGUGGGGAGCAAACAGG
rnacentral:rRNA from 1 species